AGUUUCCGUAGGUGAACCUGCGGAAGGAUCAUUGUCGUUGGCUUGCGAAAACACGACCGUUGUGCAUGUGAUCGAAUGCUGCCGGGGAGGCGCUGCCUUCUCGGCCCACCGGCCCGGCCCUCGCGCCUUCGGGGCGCGUUGGUCGUGUGCCGAAUACGGCGCGGGUUGACGCCAAGGAACACGGUAUGCUGAGGCGGCUGGCGGAGCGCGAAGGCGCACUGCCCGCUGUCGAUGCAAAGGAAAAACCAUGAUGACUCUCGGCAACGGAUAUCUCGGCUCUCGCAUCGAUGAAGAACGUAGCGAAAUGCGAUACGUGGUGUGAAUUGCAGAAUCCCGCGAACCAUCGAGUCUUUGAACGCAAGUUGCGCCCGAGGGACCUGCCCGAGGGCACGCCUGCCUGGGCGUUAGAAGCCCAUCCACGCUCAUGCGCCUAACCUCGUCCUUUGUGGCAGGUUAUGGCCCGAUGCGGAUAUUGGCCCUUCGUGCCUGAAGGCGCGGCGGGCCCAAGUACGUGGCCGUCUGGUUGGGCUCAUACCCGGGAGCGGCGAGUGGUGGGAAUUUCUGCGCGCGCCGCCCCGUGUCCCCAGUCGGCCGCUGUAGGUCGAGACAGUCGCCUGCAAUGAAACCCCAAACGAGGAGCCGGCUGACGCAGCCUGGUGCUGUGCGGCAUCUUCGGACCGAUACCCCAGGUCAGGCGGGGCUACCCGCCGAGUUUAAGCAUAUAAAUAAG
rnacentral:rRNA from 1 species